UUCAGGAGCCAUGGGCCGCCGGCUCAUCCGUGGUCUGUCUGGAGCCACUGUUUUCCUUGUCAGCAUGGCUCUUCUUUCUGUGAGGCACCAUGGAGCUCAAGAAACAGCCAGAUACCUUGGGCUUGGAAAAGAGAUGUUGGAGAAUUCAGAGCAACAGGCCAAAGUGAGCCUACAGGAUGUUACGGGAGGUGGUGGCAGGAGGCAGAAGGACCUGCAAGCCAAUCCUCAGGAUGAAUACAGGACUGGGGGAGUUCUGAAGUUUGGGGACAUUUUCAUAGCUGUGAAGACAACCAAGAGAUUUCACCAGAGCAGGAUGGAGCUGCUCCUGGACACAUGGAUAUCCCGGGCAAGAGAGCAAACAUACGUCUUCACUGAUGAAGAAGACGAAGCCCUGAAAAGGAGAAUGGGUGACCAUGUGGUGUUCACCAACUGCUCUUCUGAGCAUAGCCAUCUUGCCCUCUCGUGCAAGAUGGCUGCAGAGUUUGACGCAUUUCUGGCCAGCGGCCAGAGCUGGUUUUGCCACUUGGAUGAUGACAACUAUUUGAACCCUCAGGCCCUCCUGAAGCUCUUGUCCUCCUACUCUGCAGCGUGGGAUGUCUAUCUAGGGAAACCCAGCCUGAACCGACCCAUCCGUGCCUCUGAAACGCUGCCUAACAAUAAGACGAAGUCUGUGCGUUUCUGGUUUGCCACGGGAGGUGCUGGGUUCUGCAUUAGUCGCAGGCUGGCAAGCAAGAUGGCACCUUGGGCCAGCGGCAGGAACUUCCUGAGCACCUCAGAACUCAUCCGCUUGCCUGAUGACUGCACCAUGGGUUACAUCAUUGAGUGCAAAGUCGGUGGACAGCUGCUGUUCAACUCACUCUUCCACUCCCACCUGGAGAACCUGCAGCUCAUCCCCUCAACUCAGCUCACACAGCAGGUCACCCUCAGCUAUGGUGUCUUUGAGAACAAGCUCAAUGUUAUUGAACUCAGUGGUCCCUUCUCGCCCCAGGAGGAUCCCUCCAGGUUUCGAUCACUUCACUGCCGCCUCUAUCCGGAUACCUCCUGGUGCUUGCAGCCUGUUGGCUGGUGAUAUUUUAAGCCUCAGCAAGUCUCCUGGUGAUCUCUGUUCACCUUGUGCUUUUAGAGGAUGGGACACUGAAUAAGCUUGGUGCUCUCAACUUCCCCCUUGCAAUGAUGGCUUUGGGGCUGUGUGAUGGCUUUUUAAGUCUUUGAUGAGUACUGGUGACACAAGACAAGAGAAAUCUGUGCCAAAGAUGAAUAACAUGGGAUCAACACAUGCAUAUGGCUUUCCCUCUCUGCUGGGAUGCUUACAAGGAACAGAAGCAGUAUACCUUCUUGAACAAAGCAAGGGUUGAGCAUCUGGAUAGAGAUGGGGGCCUGUUGCCCCUUGCUGUGGAUUUACCUUGCUGAACUAGAAACGCCCUGAGUAGGGGUACCCAGUAACUGACUGAGGGUUGUUGAUAGUGUGUCUUUGUCUGAGCAGGCCAGCUUGCUUCCUCCACACCUGCCUGUGCGUACCCCAUUGCCAACUCUUACCAGCGACAUUCCCUUGGCUGAGAGAGUGCUUAAUCAAGGUCUGAUUCUGAUCACCCUACAUGGAAAGAGAAUGUGGCCAUUUCUGUGCUGAAAUAGUGCUGGAAAAGCACUCCCCUGUAAAGGAGAGAUGAGCAGGAAGUAGAAAAGAAUCAGGAAUCCCCCUCUGAUCUGACAAGCGGGGGGAAUGGGAUGGGAGAAAAGAGGCAGAGAGGAAGAUGGUUUCUACACUGAACGUUGAAGGCUUGCUCUUUUAUGGCCCUGCAUUAUUCCUCUCUCUUCUUACCUUCCUGAUAUGGGGUCAGGAUAAUCUUUUGCUCUAAUUACCAAUCUGCCAUUGGAGAUUAGAUUCCAACUCCUACCUGUGUGAGAAGAGACAUAAAGGAUUAGAAUUGGCUGAAAAAGAGGAGAAAAGAAGAGAUGGAGAAGGAGUGCUCAGGAGCGGAUUAGAGGUUAUAGUUUUAUAAUCUUCCCUGUGCCCCUGACCAAAAAAAUUAAAUCUUGAAGGAAUGGAGACAGCCUCUUGCGAAAGAUGCAACCUUCAGAAGACUAGCAGUUUAUUAAACAGAAG